rnacentral:rRNA from 1 species
UUCUUUAAAUGGGGACUUGUAUCAACGGCACCACGAGGGUUAGACUGUCUCCUUUUUCAAAUCAGUGAAAUUAAUCUCCCCGUGAAGAAGCGGGGAUACUCAUAUAAGACGAGAAGACCCCAUGGAGCUUCAAACCCAACUACACCCCUAGCUCUUAUAGCCCCACAACCCCCCCCCCC